GCGUGCCCUCCGCGGCGCAGCGUGGGGUACCGUCUCCCGCCCCGCCGGCGCGCUGCGUCCCCGCGCGUCCGAGUCCUGGUGUGAGCGCGGCCUGGCUGCCUUCCGUCCCGCCGGUUCCGUUUGACACGAAGGCGACGCUGGCUUCCCCUUAAGCCCAGCAGACGGUAGUUAGGGUCCGGGGCUGACGAGCUCGCGCCCCGUCCGUCUCGGCCCCUCGGUCCCUGGACCGCGGGCGCGGGGUCCGCUCUGUGCCCAGGACGCCUGGCCUGUCGUCUCCCCGCGGACAGAGGCUGGUCCGUGUUUCUGUGUGGAGGAGGCUUCCCGGGCUGCCGGGGGCGUCAGGGGCCGCCCAGAGUUUCUCACCCCGGGGCGACUUCUCGCCUCGAGCCGCCAGGUCGGCGUCCCUCCGCGGGCAGGAAGCUGAGCCGGGACCGGCCCCGGCGGCACCCCGGUCCUCACCGCCGGGGACUUGGCCCUUUUCUCCCCUUCCGCCUCCCGGGGGCUGUGCGCCGCCGUCCCGAGGGGCCCGUGGGGCGCGCGGCGGAGCAGCGUUGACCUGCCGCUCGCUUCGCACACGCGCUGCCGGCUCCCCGCCCGCCGCGCAGUCGGCCGCUGCCUCCGGCCGGCGGGGGCUCCCCUGGCGGGCCUCCCGGCGCUGAGCUCGGCCGAGGCCCUGCCCCAGGCCAGCUUGUCCCCGCGGGCGGGGUGGCCGCACUCUGCACGUGCGCUCAGCCGCCCGCCCCUCGGAGGUGAGACCCGGCGGUUGUGUGUCACUCUCCGCCCCGAGGUUCCCGCCCAUCAGAGCGCUGCCGCCACCGCGGGUGGAGGGAGGUGGAGGAAACGCAGUCGCCACAAGUCCCUGGGUUUCAAGGUAGAACAGGCUGGCCCGGCCCGCGGUGCCAGACGCUGUCUGCUCUGUUGCUUCGGGCGGGGGCACCCCGGGCUCUGAGGCCCUCAGGGCCGACGCACAGGCGGGGACUCGGCGGAGGAGGGCGCACGCGGGCGCGGUGGCCGGUGCUCGGAGGCCACCGCGGCCCUCAGCGCCCUCCCGCGGGAAAGCCUUAGCUUAGGUCAAGCGUGGUGUUUAAAGGUAACGUCGUCAGUGAUUAGAGCGACACUGUUUACGUGAAACCACUUUCUGAGGGUAGUAAGUUAGAGCGAGUGGCGUAAACACGAGCGUUGCGCGAAGCCGCGUCUGCAGGGCGGCGUCCCGCGCGCGUUGUGGUGCGUGUUGGUGCGCGUGGGGCUGCCCUCCGGGCCCCCGGCCCUCCGUGCGGCUGGACGGCUGUCCCUCGGGGCCCCGCGGUCUCACGGUCCUGUCAGUGUAGAGGGAGGGAGGAGGGAUCCCUGGAGUCUUGGAGAAAAGGUUUUGUGCCCUCUGGUGGGGCUUCCCCCAUAUUUAUGAUCUUAAUUUAUACAGCGCCCACCGUGGAAGCAAACGCUUCCUGUAUCGCUAUGUACAUAUCCACAUCUGGGGUUGUAAAUACGUUGUUCUGUGUAUAAAUAAAACAAGCCUGUUUUUGAUCUUACACUGUCGGGUUUCUUGUUAUCGUUCCUUGUGCUUGGACGUAAGAUGUUGCCAAAAAUCUUCCCGAACUGGGUUCAGAAUUACGUUUUUCAGCCGCUCUAAAAGCAGGUUGAAUUGGCGGUGGCUGAAAAGCAAAGUGGGAAGAAUGCCAUUGUAUUAUAUAGGGUGUAGGUUCUAGGAUCUGUUGAAUUAAAAAUUCAGCAACCUUGGGGCCGGGUGGCACCAAGGUUCUCAGGCUUAAUCACAUGCAGCUUCAGCCCAACCUACUGAGGGCCGCGUCAUUUUAGCUAAUAUCCUAAUCUCCUAAGUCUUUAACAUGUAACUGCAAACCGGAGCUCUUCUACUUACCUCUCUGUUUAAUCAUAGUACCUUUAUUACAAGGGAGCUGCCUCUCCAAGCUCAAGGUCACUUUAAUCAUCCCCCAGUUUCCUGGGGUGAGGGAUGGGGGCUGGGAUCACGGAGUCGAAAACCAGGCUGGCAGGGUACCAUAGGGCUGUGUGGGCUUUGGAUGUGUAUGUAGGUUGCCUCCCCAGAAGCUUCCUUCUCUCUCCUCCCAUGCUUAGUAGAGCCCCAUUUUUGUCCUGGUGUGCAUGCUUCUCCCACCUGGCCAUCCAGCAUCAGGCCUCAUGCUUGCAGGAGAGCUGCCACUGUUCCAGGGAGCACAUCCAAACAUGACCACGCCCAGGCUAAAGUGUGGGUGUAUAGGGGGUUGUCUCUUCUGCGUCUCUUUUUAAGGUAAAAGGAAACCUUUCAGAAAGUCUGGCUUCCACUGACCUCCCCUAAUGUCUCAUCGUCUAGAAUUGUAUCACACACUCAUGACUGAACCGGUGGGUGCAGAGGGAACGGGACUAUGCCAGUGAUGGCUGAUCACGGUGCUGCUGGCCUAACACAUUUCUGUUACUUUAUGCCAGGUGCCGGCUUAAGGACUUUGCACAUCCUAACUCACCUGUUCCUUAGCAAUCCUACCAGAGGAAAACCCGCCAGCUGGGGACCUGAAGGCUUUCUCGCUCGUGCUGUGGACAGAAGCAGAUCCACCAAAAGCCUGCUGAGCUGCGCUUUCCGGGAAGUCAUGUUGCCAGCCGGGCCCCACGCUGAGAACAAAAUUGCCUGUGGUCCCAGGUCUCCAGGACGUGCGCACGCAGGAGGAAAGUGCCCCAGCGUGGUCGCUGCCAGGCGCACCCCCGGGGCCGGGCGGGCCUCCAUGGCGCCCGGCAGGGUGGCUGUGCAGCGCCCAUCACCGUGGAGGCCGUGACCGCUCGGGGUGGCCUCGACUUCUAGAAGAGCCAUGGUAUAGUGGUCCCCACCCCCUCGGUACGCUGGUUCCAAGUCGAACCAUUCAUGUCAUGGAGCUGCUGCUGGCCGUCGCACCCAACCCAGACCCCAGGCUGCAGGCAGGAGCCGUGCGGUGCCUUCCCAGAACGUACACACACCCGCAGUGAUCGGUCACGCCUUUUACUGACGGGCAGGACUGAGCACGGAAGGCGAGGCUGCCGCAUCUCCCGUCCAGCCGGCUGAGGGGCCCGGGACUCGGCCCUUCACAGCCAAGCCUGUCCCAGAGGGAAGCCGACCUCUCCGAGCCAGGAUUCUGGAUUAUCAGGGACUUCUUGGGCCCCGCCUCCCCUUUUUGCCAGGAAAGUGUCCCACUCUCUCCCUGGAGCCCCACUCCAUCCCCGAACUGGAAGGAAGGAGGGGAGCAAGCCGACAAGCAGAGACCACCCGAGGCCCCGGCCGCUCACCGCGGACACCGUGCCGCGCCUCGACCCUGCCUGUUGUGGCUCCUCCGGACUGUCCCCUCAGCCCUUUCCAGGCUUGGCUGCCAUGACCCUGCCUCCCCAUCAGGCUCCCAGAAGGAAGAGGCCCCGGCGGGA